rnacentral:lncRNA from 1 species
GCGAAAAGCAGAGAAGAGAGUUGUGCGUCUGGACUUGUCCGCGGUAUCCUGAACCCUCUCCCCAGAGAGAUGAAAUGGAGUCAAAAAGGACAGGUAACAGGACGGCGCAGACAGGCCCCGUGGAGCUGAGCCCAGGACGGAUUCUAGGAGAGGCGCACUCCGACCUCGACUCCAUCGCUGCGGAGCUGGUCAAGUCCUCAAGUUCUGAGAGGCCUGUUCUGUCCUUCUAAGGCUCCUUCAGUCAGGGACACCGAAGCACCUAAAACAGUAACUGCACACAGAGUCCAGGCCAAGUGUGCCUGUCAGUCUUUCAUGAAUCAAAUCUUUUAAAACAGCACAAG